AGGGCUACACAGAGAAACCCUGUCUCAAAAACCAAACCAAACAAAAACAACAAAUAUGUUAAAAUAUUUUAAUUGUAUGUAUAUGAAUGUUCUGCCUACAUAUAUGCAUGUGUGCCGUGUGCAUGCAGUACCUUCAGAGACCAGAAGAUGAUAUUGAAUUCCUUGGAACUCACAGAUAGUUGUGAGCCGUAGUGCGGUGCUGGGAAAUGAAUCCAGGUCCACUGUAAGAGGAGACAAGUCCUCCCAGCAAGCCCUCAGACCAUGUCCAAAGAAGAGUUAAAAAGCAAGGGCACACAUGGAGCAGGCACAAUGGUAGAGGGCACCGGAAGUUGGAGAGAGAUGGCGUGGCCAAUACACAACACAUAAGUGUAUGAGAUUUGUAAAAACUGAAACCUUUUUUAAAAUGAGGCACUGUGAGAAUGAGAAAUCCUGGUGAUUCUGAAGUUCCUUUUCAGAAUGAAAGUAAGACUCAAAGGCUCACAGUGUUCCCACGGUGGCAGAAUGAUGGAGAUGCUGGUGAGAUGGCCGUUGCCAGGGCGUCAGGACAGGCUUCCUGUGUCUACAAUUACUUAAAAAUAGAAAGCUAAGAAAAAUAAAGUAAAACUAGGUCUGGUGGUACAGGUGCUGAGGUAGGAGAUUCACAAAUUCAAGGACCACUUGAGCAACAAAAUUUGGGCUCCAGACCAGACAUUCAAAUUACAACAGACUUAGAUGGAGGACUUUCUUGGACUUGAAUCCAUCUCGGUUUCCGGAGGGAAGUCUUCUGGUUUCCCACGAUGCUGAUACUGCUCACUGUCUUGUCACAGGAGGAAAUUGGACUACAGGUCAUGGAUGUUUCAGGGUAGCUAAAGGCUUCUGGAGAAGUCCAGGCAGGACUCUUGUAUAUCAUUCUUUUUCCUUCCAAUGAGAUAAAUGACCCCCCCUUUGGGGGGGUGGGGGGACGGGUUUCGAGACAGGGUUUCUCAGUGUAGCCCUGGCUGCCCUGGAACUCACUCUGUAGACCAGGCUGGCCUCGAACUCAGAAAUCCGCCUGCCUCUGCCUCCCAAGUGCUGGGAUUAAAGGUGUGUGCCACCACCGCCCGGCAAAUGAUCUCCACUUAAGGUAACCUGACUGUCACAUCCUCACCAGGGAAACAGUGGAUGCAGGAAAAGGAGAGAGUUCAGGGCGGGCACCCCAUACCCGGUUGUGAACCCCAGGCUCCUGGACCAGGACUGUGAUACAUGAACGAUGUCUGUGCCCCUCCCCAGGGCUUACAAGAUCAUAAUGCUUCACAACAUACACCACAGAGCUCAGCGUGUGGCAAACAGACCUGGGGUUGGAUUCCACAUCUCCAUCUGCCAGCCGUGACAUCCCUGCCUCUGGUCUAAGGGCAGUGAUGAUGUCGGUGUGAUCACUUUUAAGGGCAUGUUGUGUGGUCACCCUUUCCAAAUCACAAGCGCAAGAAAUGCUUCCCGUGUGCCUGUGGCACAAAUUGUACGGGCGCUCUGCAAAAGGCAGCUGAUGUUGCUACAGAUACUCUUCGCUUGCUCCACAGUGGCCUGUGACUUCCUGGUGAGAGACCCCCAACUCAAGGUUUUUAGACCUCUAAACAACUAGCCUAACACAGAGUAACUUGUUUUCUGCUUUCAGCUUGAGAAAGAUAGCCCACCUGGUUCUAGUUCCAAUGUUUAACUAUACAAUGCCCCAAGGACGUUUGCUCCAGAUAAUCUCUAGCCUUCCUUCCUCUUUCUGUACUUCCCCAUUCCGUGCAUGUUUUGUCCUCCACCCCUUGCCUUGUGAAUUGUGGCCUCCAACCCUUGUCUUGGGAUUUUUCCCCUUUAAAUACCCCUGACUUCAGUUGCACGGGGUCCUCAGUCCUCUACCCCUGCGUGGGGUAUGGCUGUGGAACCCAGAAUUCUGGAAAUAAAGAAAUUCUCAUGCUAUUGCAUCGAGA